rnacentral:tRNA from 1 species
GUCCCUUUCGUCCGGUGGUUAGGACAUCGUCUUUUCAUGUCGAAGACAUGGGUUCAAUUCCCGUAAGGGAUA